AUGACCAUAUUGCAUUGGAACACCAGUUCUCAUAAGAUCACUGAACUUAAGCAACAUUGAGUCUUGUCAGUACCUAGAUUGGUGACUGCUUGGGAAUACCUGACACUGUA